GCCUCAGUAACGGCGAGUGAAGUGGCAACAGCUCAAAUUUGAAAUCUGGCACACGUCCGAGUUGUAAUUUGCAGAGGAGGCUUUGGAGUCGCCCCCGGUCCGAGUUCCUUGGAACAGGACGUCGCAGAGGGUGAGAAUCCCGUACAUGGCCGGGCGGCUUCUCCCUGCAAGGCCCCUUCGACGAGUCGAGUUGUUUGGGAAUGCAGCUCUAAAUGGGAGGUAAAUUUCUUCUAAAGCUAAAUACCGGCCAGAGACCGAUAGCGCACAAGUAGAGUGAUCGAAAGAUGAAAAGCACUUUGAAAAGAGAGUCAAAAAGUACGUGAAAUUGUUGAAAGGGAAGCGUUUGCAGCCAGACUUGGCGGCAGUUGCUCAGCCGGUCUCUGCCCGGUGCACUCUCCUGCUGACAGGCCAGCAUCAGUUUGGGCGGCUUGAUAAAGGCAUUGGGAACGUGGCUCCUCGGAGUGUUAUAGCCCUCUGCACAAUGCGGCCAGCCUGGACUGAGGACCGCGGUUCACGGAUGCUGGCUUAAUGGCUGCCAACGGCCCGUCUUGAAACACGGACCAAGGAGUCUAACAUCCAUGCGAGUGUUUGGGUGUCAAACCCGUACGCGUAAUGAAAGUGAACGGAGGUGGGAGCCUUAACCGGCGCACCAUCGACCGAUCCCGAUGUCUUCGGAAGGAUUUGAGUAUGAGCAUGGCUGUUGGGACCCGAAAGAUGGUGAACUAUGCCUGAAUAGGGUGAAGCCAGAGGAAACUCUGGUGGAGGCUCGCAGCGGUUCUGACGUGCAAAUCGAUCGUCAAAUUUGGGUAUAGGGGCGAAAGACUAAUCGAACCAUUCACCGAGAUUUUUUAGUUGUCUACUAGGUGGUUUAGAUGUAAUGUGAAUGGAGUCCAAAGGGGCGACACUAUCCAAUUGCGGGGACUCUCGUUAAUCUUAGGGACCUGGG
rnacentral:rRNA from 1 species